rnacentral:rRNA from 1 species
AUUGAACGCUGGCGGCAUGCUUUACACAUGCAAGUCGAACGGUAACAGGCCGCAAGGUGCUGACGAGUGGCGAACGGGUGAGUAAUGCAUCGGAACGUGCCCAGUCGUGGGGGAUAACGCAGCGAAAGCUGCGCUAAUACCGCAUACGAUCUAUGGAUGAAAGCGGGGGACCGUAAGGCCUCGCGCGAUUGGAGCGGCCGAUGUCAGAUUAGGUAGUUGGUGGGGUAAAGGCUCACCAAGCCAACGAUCUGUAGCUGGUCUGAGAGGACGACCAGCCACACUGGGACUGGGACACGGCCCAGACUCCUACGGGAGGCAGCAGUGGGGAAUUUUGGGCAAUGGGCGCAAGCCUGAUCCAGCAAUGCCGCGUGCAGGAAGAAGGCCUUCGGGUUGUAAACUGCUUUUGUACGGAACGAAACGGCUCUGGUUAAUACCUGGGGCUAAUGACGGUACCGUAAGAAUAAGCACCGGCUAACUACGUGCCAGCAGCCGCCGUAAUAC